rnacentral:rRNA from 1 species
ACGGGGCCCGCACAAGCGGUGGAGCAUGUGGUUUAAUUCGAUGAUACGCGAAGAACCUUUACCGGGUCUUGACAUCCCCUGCAAAGCUAUGGAGACAUUAGUGGAGGUUAUCAGGGAGACAGGUGGUGCAUGGUUGUCGUCAGCUCGUGUCGUGAGAUGUUGGGUUAAGUCCCGCAACGAGCGCAACCCUUAUUGCUAGUUACCAUCAUUGAGUUGGGGACUCUAGCGAGACUGCCAGUGAUAAACUGGAGGAAGGUGGGAUGACGUCAAAUCAUCAUGCCCCUUAUGACCUGGGCUACACACGUGCUACAAUGGUUGGUACAACGAGUUGCGAGUCGGUGACGGCGAGCUAAUCUCUUAAAGCCAAUCUCAGUUCGGAUUGUAGGCUGCAACUCGCCUACAUGAAGUCGGAAUCGCUAGUAAUCGCGGAUCAGCACGCCGCGGUGAAUACGUUCCCGGGCCUU